UGCAUUCAGAAUAGACAUCGUAACUACGUCAGAGGAAAAAUAUAAAUUAUACCGAAUAGAUUUUCAUAACGGCAUGAAAAUCUAUCCGGUGUAAUGUGAACAUGGUCUAAGCCUCGUUUUUGAUAUCGCACAACAUUCCACAAUGAAAGAUAACGCAAAGGGAAGCAUGCGUAUUUUUGUGAACAAGAAACAAAGAUUGUGUUAUGUUAUGACUGACUCACAAAUUAAAAAUUAACCAGCAAAGAAAUUUCAACAACGAUAAUUAAUUCAUGGACCUGAAAAUAUAAAUCAGUCGACAACACCUGCGCAAACGACACCAAUGAUGACAAUGAAUAAUUCAACAAUCUUCAAAUGAAAAGUUAAUCAAAAAUUACUCAUGACGGUGACGAUUAAGAGAACUCUGAAUAAGACAACGCCUACUAAUUGAGACCAAUGGACAAUACCGCAAAGUUCGAAAAAAACAAUAAAUACCCCACUUCCCCUCUGAAAAUGAUGCGUGUGAUUGAAACAAAGCCCGCCACGAGAGUGGUUGUUUUGUGAUUGGAACGAAGUCCGUCUCGAGAGCGGUUGUUUUGUGAUUGGACCAAAAUCCGCCACUAGAGCGGGUGUGUGGUUUGAACGAUUGACGAAGGUAGUAUUAUUGACGUCGCGCUGUAACUUCGGAAAAUUAAACGUAUCAGACAUACCUUUUUCGGCGACAUCAGAGAAAAAUGAAGAUAUCCACCUUGCUUGUUACAGACACACACGGAGACACAUUCAGCGUAUUAUUAUAGAGAUCUAUCUAUCUCUUCCGAGAAAUAUUACCUUCAACCAGCGAAAUAUUACCUUCAGCCAGCACCUCGCAAGCUCGAUCUAUGCUUUUGACCUCUGGUAAUUUCUUGCGAAAUUUCUUGGUAUAGAUAGACAAAACAGUUUGUAUUGUAUUACUAUAUACAGUUUUUUUCAUACGUAACUUUAAUUUUAUAAUGAGUUUAUAAUGAGAAAAAAGUAGUUUUUGGUUGUAAUGACAUGAUAUACUUUUUUAUGUGAAAUAUUCUACGCCACUAAAGGGCACUAAAAUGGUA